AGCAUCUUCCUCCACGCCGCCUUUUCCCGUGGAGCGUCACUAGCCAGCCCGAGACGCGGCGGGCGGGACACGUCGCCGCCGCUCCUCCUCGCUGUCCCUAACAGGGGACAUCUUCCAAGCAGGCUGUAGGCUGUUUGCCUCCGUCAGUGAUGCCGCUUCUGGAAAGAAACACCACCGGCGACCCAAAAGGGUUACCCAAGGUCCCCGUGCCCCCUCUCAAGCAAACCCUGGACACCUACCUGAGGUGUGUGCGACACCUGGUGAAGGCGGAGCAGUUCGACAAAACCAAGGCCCUGGUGGAGAAGUUUGGCGCUGCGGGCGGCGCCGGGGAGGUCCUGCAGAAGAAGCUCCUGGAGAGGAGGGAGAAGACGGAGAA